CAAAUAAACAUUGAAAAAACAAAUACACAAAAAAUAAAAAUAAGUAAGACAGUUGCCAACAUUGAGCUGAGAUGAUGACAGCCCUGUGAAUUCAUAAAUGCAAACAGAAAUUCUCGAAGCCACUCAUAGAUGCCUAAGGUAUUCCUCCAAGAUCCCACUGACUUUCGCUUUAAAAGCUCUGUAUUGUAACAGAGAGGCACGACUGCACACACGCACCGAGAACAGACACACUCGCAACUAAAUGCUGGGAACCUUCGUCCAAUCGGGGCUGCUUUCCUGAAAUAGGUCAUGAAGUUUCCGAACAGGAGAGACGGGUACCCCGGAGCAAAUUUAUUUAGGUCCUUAGCCCAAGUUUCAAGGAAUGCGUUCUUCAGAUUAAAAAGAGGUGAGGCCAAUCAACUGUAACUCAGACAUUAAGACCCAUCUACCUGCCUUCUGGGCCACGCCACCCUCUUGGCCGUAUUCCUUUGAAACAGGUAGCUUUUAUUUUCUCCCUCCUCCCUCAGCCCUGCGAGCUGACGCCUAUGCAUACUGACGGCUGCGGCUACGUACAUCCAGAAUUUCUUAGACCCUGGGCUUGACCGACCCCAGGUGUGACUUAGCCCCCUGCCGCAGGGGUUUCCAAUCAGGGCCUCAUUAAGCUUCGAGGGCAGUGAGGGGGUGAGGUCUCGGGACCGGGUGAACAAACCCCGCGCAGGGGGCCGAGGCUGAGCUGAGCAAGGCAGGCUGGAGGGGGUGGCGGCGCCACACAGGACAGCCGACUCCCGCCCCCCCCCCCCCACCCCACCGGCCGGGCACUGCCACCCUUGGGCCACACCUCAGAGCGAGGCUUUCAAACCACAGGCCGCGUCCCCUUGCGGUCCCAGGAAGUCAACGUAGCUGAUGCUCGCCAGCAUUCAAAACAAAAAUGCAAAAACAGCGAACAAGCUAACACCAAUGACGAGAAACAGAACAGGAACGACCAGACUCUCCUGCGUGAUUGGAGGCCCUUAUCUGGACUGGGAAGAACAGAACCGAUCCUAGCAUGGAGCUCUGUGGAGUAUGUGCUCGAGAAACGGGAAGGGACCGAGCCCUCACGACAAGGUGUGUAGACGGUGGAGCCAGAUGAAACCCAGGCCAUGCGAUUCCCAAGCAUAACCUCUACCCGUGGAUGUAUUCAGAAGAUGGAACAACGGAGCAGCACAAGUUCGUUAAGCUAAACAGACCUGAUAGAAGGCUGGCCCUUCCUGCUACUGAGGAAUCCCAUGGACUACGAAUACAGCCACCAAAGAACGAAUAGUUGCUAAUUAUCUCCCUCCACUGGCUUUCCUGGUAACCAUUUUUAACUCGGGGUUUCCCUGAUGGGGUAGGAAGCAGUCUGCGGUGGUUUACCAGAGAAGCCCUCGAAUGCCCUCUCACUUGAUAGGCAAAACCCAACCCUAUCUUUGUCCCACGGGUUUCAGGAGCCCCAACGGUGAUAAACGAAGCAACAUGGCGGCGGUGCAGGGGGAAGGUUGGGACGCAGAGGACUCUGGGAGAGACACAAAACGGAUGCUUACAGGACGCGGAUACGUAGGGGUUUAGGAUGUUGAGGGAGUUCUCAAUUCUGGCUACAGGUUAGAAUCCCCUGGAAAGUUUUUUGUUUUUGUUUUUUUAAGUGUAUUUAUUUAUUUUUUGGGGGGGAGGGGUAAAGAGAGAGGGACAGAGAGAAUCCGAAGCAG